rnacentral:rRNA from 1 species
AACAGGUACAGAAUUGUGAUCUCGACAAGUUGUGCCUUUAUCCUUACUCAUUUUUACUUUUAGUAUAAGAUGAUUUGAAGUAUCAUAUUGUGCUUAGUAUAAGAUAGAAGGGUAAAAGGUUUUUGUGCAUAUCGGGGGACCGUGAAGGUUUUAUUGGUGAGUAUUUGCACUCGGAAGGGCAACGAUGAAUAUUGAAUAAUCGGACAUAGUACGAUAAGGUUGUAUGUCUAAAGGGAAACAGCCCAAAACAAGAGUUAAGGUUCCAAAAUUAUUAUUAAGUGAAAUUAAGGAAGUGUUUUUCGGAUACAACCAGGAAAUAGGCUUAGAAGCGGCCAUUUUUUGAAGACCUCGUAACAGAGCACUGGUUAAUUAAACUAUUGGUUUAUUAAGUUAAAGGCGCCGAAAAUAUAACGGAUCUAAAAUAAUAUACCAAAACCUUGUCCAUAAAUUUUUUUUAAUAACCUGUAAAGCAUAGCAUUGAAAAGCAUUGUAUUGCAUGGCAAAGCAAAAACAAACUCAAGUAACAAAUUUAUGGGGUAGCGGAACACUGGGUAAAUUUUUUUUAAAUUCUUUUUAAGAUAGUAUUAUAAUAUCCCAAGUGACAAUGCUGAUAUGAGUAACGAAAAGGGAUUAUCCCCGCCUUAAACUUAUGGUAUUCUUUUUUUAAGUAACGGCCUCUAAGUUUAUAUUAAUCCUAAAGGAUUAAACGAUGAGCAAAUCUUUAAUAUAUGAAAAACCUUUUUAGUAAAAAGUGUUCUGGAAAAACAUAUGAAAACGCAUUUCUUGUGGUAACUGCAUAUUAAUUAUAUAGUUAAUACAGUACCAUUUGAUUUGUUAUAACCGUACCUAAAUACUAACACCAGUAAGCUAUGUC